AUUUGACCUCAAAUCAGGUAGGAGUACCCGCUGAACUUAAGCAUAUCAAUAAGCGGAGGAAAAGAAAAUAACAAUGAUUCCCCUAGUAACUGCGAGUGAAGAGGGACAAGCUCAAAUUUUAAAUCUGUUAGGUUUACCUAACCGAGUUGUAAUUUGAAGAGGCGUUUUCUGUGUUUUUGAUCAGCCCAAGUCCUUUGGGAUAGGGCAUCAUGGAGGGUGAGAAUCCCGUUCGGUUGGUCAGAUUCGCUUUACGAUACGUCAUCUAAGAGUCAAGUUGUUUGGGAUUGCAGCUUAAAAUGGGAGGUAAAUUUCUCCUAAGGCUAAAUAACGGCGAGAGACCGAUAGCGAACAAGUACCGUGAGGGAAAGAUGAAAAGAACUUUGAAAAGAGAGUUAAACAGUACGUGAAAUUGUUGAAAGGGAAACGAUUGAAGCCAGUCGUACCUUCGGGUAAUCAGCCUUUCGGGUGCGAUUCUGUGGAGCGUGAGGAGUUAAAUGCCUUCAUGCCUGCAUAUUCGUGCACUUUGGGUGUACUUGCCCGUGUGGUAGGUUAACAUCAAUUUCGGAUAUCAUAAAAUGGCUGGAGGAAUGUAGCUUCGGUCUCGUACUGAAGUGUUAUAGCCUCUGGUAGAUGUGAUGACCGGGAUUGAGGAUUGCAACGAAUACCUUUUGGGCUACCCGCCUGAACUCUGAAAGUUGUUCUGGUGCCGAAAGCUUGCUUACGGUUAUCAAAGUUGACGUUCAAAAGGUUAGAACGGGUUAAAUUCGUUAAGGAUGUUGACGUAAUGGCUUUAAACGACCCGUCUUGAAACACGGACCAAGGAGUCUAACAUAUAUGCGAGUGUUUGGGUGAUCAAACCCUUACGCGUAAUGAAAGUAAUUUAGGUGGGAACAUUUUUGUGCACCAUCGACCGAUCAGGAUAUUUUUUGAUAGAUUUGAGUAAGAGCAUAUCUGCUAGGACCCGAAAGAUGGUGAACUAUGCCUGAAUAGGGUGAAGCCAGAGGAAACUCUGGU
rnacentral:rRNA from 1 species